UACGAAGGGGGCUAGCGUUGCUCGGAAUCACUGGGCGUAAAGGGUGCGUAGGCGGGUCUUUAAGUCAGGGGUGAAAUCCUGGAGCUCAACUCCAGAACUGCCUUUGAUACUGAGGAUCUUGAGUACGGGAGAGGUGAGUGGAACUGCGAGUGUAGAGGUGAAAUUCGUAGAUAUUCGCAAGAACACCAGUGGCGAAGGCGGCUCACUGGCCCGUAACUGACGCUGAGGCACGAAAGCGUGGGGAGCAAACAGG
rnacentral:rRNA from 1 species